rnacentral:rRNA from 1 species
CCUACGGGCGGCAGCAGUGGGGAAUAUUGCACAAUGGGGGAAACCCUGAUGCAGCAACGCCGCGUGAAGGAAGACGGUCUUCGGAUUGUAAACCUCUAUCAAUAGGGAAGAAAGAAAUGACGGUACCUAAAUAAGAAGUUGCGGCUAACUACGUGCCAGCAGCCGCGGUAAUACGUAGGGGGCAAGCGUUAUCCGGAAUUACUGGGUGUAAAGGGAGAGUAGGCGGCAAGGUAAGCGAUAUGUGAAAGCCUUAAGCUUAACUUAAGGAUGGCAUAACGAACUAGCUAGCUAGAGUACAGGAGAGGAGAGCGGAAUUCCUGGUGUAGCAGUGAAAUGCGUAGAUAUUAGGAAGAACACCAGUGGCGAAGGCGACUUUCUGGACUAAAACUGACGCUGAGGCUCGAAAGCGUGGGGAGCGAACAGGAUUAGAUACCCUAGUAGUC